rnacentral:rRNA from 1 species
GACGAACGCUGGCGGCGUGCCUAACACAUGCAAGUCGAGCGGUCCUGCAUUCAACAUUGAGUAUUCAGCAGGCGUUGGAGAUGUAACCAGCGUCAAGCAGAAACGACUAUAUAUUAUAAUUUUUUGAAGUUUCUGCUUCACGCCAAAUCAAGUGCCAACACAAAGGGAGCUGAGUAUUGAAUGUUGAAUGCAGGAUAGCGGCGGACGGGUGAGUAACGCGUGGGCAACCUGCCUCAUACAGGGGGAUAACACAGGGAAACUUGUGCUAAUACCGCAUAAUAUCAUUGGGUGGCAUCACCUGAUGAUCAAAGGAGAAAUCCGGUAUGAGAUGGGCCCGCGUCCGAUUAGUUAGUUGGUGAGGUAACGGCUCACCAAGGCGACGAUCGGUAGCCGAACUGAGAGGUUGAUCGGCCACAUUGGGACUGAGACACGGCCCAGACUCCUACGGGAGGCAGCAGUGGGGAAUAUUGCGC